rnacentral:misc_RNA from 1 species
AGAGAAUCUCAUAACAAGAUCCGGAUAACCAAAGCACUCCAUAUUGUCAGGCUAUAAGAUAUCCUCUCCCCACCACCCACACAUGCUGUCUGAAAGCAAGCUACCACAUAAAAUUUGAGUUUGAAAUGAAGUAUAAUAUACUAAAUAAACUAUACAAAUUUUAGAAAAUCAAUGAUGAAGCAAUAAAUUAGAUUCUGGGAUGAUUGGAAUAAAUUUUAUUCAUAAAUCAGUCAGAUCCAAAACAGUUAAAUUAAAUCAAACAUCAUAAGCAGUAAUACCAAGAUGAACCAAAGAGCAUUGAUAUAUACUUAAAAGAAGCUGCUUGAAGAAAUAUGGUCAGCUACCUGGUAACAUAAUGUGGG